AAAGGGUCACCUGGCAAAUAUCGCCACCCAAAUCGGUUGCCCAGACAACGAAGAAGACGACGCGACGGCCGUUUCAAACAGUGAAAAAUGUCCAAAUAAAUUGUAAAAAUCAGUUUAAAACAGUGCUGUAAUCGGUGGCGAGAACAAUUUUGGUUUUUUUGGUUUAAUUAUUAAAACAUUUCGGACUACGUUGGAAAAUUUGUUAUCAAGUAUAUCAUGUAAGUACCUAUAUGCGUAUGAUAUAUAAUACACUACGAUGAUUUGAAUUCACUUAGAAUAUUAUUUAAUAAUUUGAUAUUAUUAAAGUUAUUAAUCGAUUAGAGUGCUGCCGCGGUUACUAUCAAAACAUCAUUUAUCAAAAACGAGAGAGGCUAUAAGUUUUGAGAUAUUUUACCUUUACGUGCACAUAUAACUAUAAUAUUAUGCGAACACGUGAAUACCGAUUACAGAUCAAACAUCCUUGGUCACUUGAUAACAAUAAUAUUGUAUGCACACUAUGUAUAUAUCAUGUUAUACAGGCAUGUAUGAUAGGAUGCAUAUUUAAUAUAUUUAAUAAUCGCGAUCCCGAAGUACGGUAAAAGACUUCGGACUGUCAAGCUGAAGUACUGCUGGCAGCCAGCCGUUAUACUGUACGAGUGAGAUUUCCACGUCAGAAUUUCGUUCU